rnacentral:rRNA from 1 species
CCUACGGGAGGCAGCAGUGAGGAAUAUUGGUCAAUGGACGAGAGUCUGAACCAGCCAAGUAGCGUGAAGGAUGACUGCCCUAUGGGUUGUAAACUUCUUUUAUAAAGGAAUAAAACGAGGCACGUGUGCCUUUUUGCAUGUACUUUAUGAAUAAGGAUCGGCUAACUCCGUGCCAGCAGCCGCGGUAAGACGGAGGAUCCGAGCGUUAUCCGGAUUUAUUGGGUUUAAAGGGAGCGUAGAUGGGUUGUUAAGUCAGUUGUGAAAGUUUGCGGCUCAACCGUAAAAUUGCAAUUGAUACUGGCAGGCUGGAGUACAGUUGAGGUAGGCGGAAUUCGAGGUGUAGCGGUGAAAUGCUUAGAUAUCACGAAGAACCCCGAUUGCGAAGGCAGCUUACUAAACUGUGACUGACAUUGAUGCUCGAAAGUGUGGGUAUCAAACAGGAUUAGAUACCCCAGUAGUC